rnacentral:rRNA from 1 species
CUCGUAGGCGGUUCGUCGCGUCCGGUGUGAAAGUUCAUCGCUUAACGGUGGAUCCGCGCCGGGUACGGGCGGGCUUGAGUGCGGUAGGGGAGACUGGAAUUCCCGGUGUAACGGUGGAAUGUGUAGAUAUCGGGAAGAACACCAAUGGCGAAGGCAGGUCUCUGGGCCGUUACUGACGCUGAGGAGCGAAAGCGUGGGGAGCGAACA